AUCCCAUGGUGUGGGCACUUCCUCAAUAUCUCUUCAAAUCUCUCCCAAGCUUCAUAAAAUGAUUCAUCUUCUAGCUGCUGAAAGGACAUGAUUUCAUUGCGAAACUU